rnacentral:rRNA from 1 species
UACGUAGGGUGCAAGCGUUGUCCGGAAUUAUUGGGCGUAAAGAGCGUGUAGGCGGCCAGACAGGUCCGUUGUGAAAACUCGAGGCUCAACCUCGAGACGUCGACGGAAACCGUCUGGCUAGAGUCCGGAAGAGGAGUGUGGAAUUCCUGGUGUAGCGGUGAAAUGCGCAGAUAUCAGGAAGAACACCUAUGGCGAAGGCAGCACUCUGGGACGGUACUGACGCUGAGACGCGAAAGCGUGGGGAGCGAACAGG